AGGAAGGACACAUAUUUCAUGGCUGGAAGGGCAGUAGCUGCUAGCCUUGUCCAUGGACGCCCAGCACCUCACUUUCUUUCUCCAGUACUUUUUGCUGGCUUGGUUGGAGGUCCAAAUGCAGCUUGCUUACUUUAAAUGACAUAAGUGAUGCAGACCUCCUUGCAAAACCGAAAAAGGUAUCUGACAGUUGUACUCUGGAGGAGCUUCAAAAAGCCACAGAUCCUCUUUUGGAUUACAUGGCCAGCGCAGGUCGCGUCAGACGCUUAACAGCAAUCAGCGAUGGAGAUCUUCUCGUGCAUGAUUUGCUGAUGUUUCAUGUUGUACAUCGGGUCCAGGGAUCUUUUCAGAGGUUUACAGAAGGACUGAAGACACUGGGAGUUCUGGAUGCUGCUUCAGUUUUCGAAAGUUGUUUUGCCACGAACCCCAGCCGUUAACAGCAGACGUAAUGGACGACCUUUUCACACCUCAACUUUCCCCCAAAGGAAGUAGUAAGAGAAGAGUGGAAGAAGAAGUCAUUCCUUUGUGGAGGGAUUAUUAUAUUAUAUUUUUAUUAUAUUUUUAAGAUGGAGUAAUAUAUAUGACAUGUGUUUUUUUA